GGGGUUGUGGCUCAGUGGUAGAGCGCUUGCCUUGAACACAUGAGGCCCUGGGUUCGAACCUCAGCACCA
rfam:Ictidomys tridecemlineatus contig000242, whole genome shotgun sequence.